rnacentral:rRNA from 1 species
CGGACGGGUGAGUAACGCGUGGAAAACCUGCCGUAUACUGGGGGAUAACACUUAGAAAUAGGUGCUAAUACCGCAUAAGCGCACAGCUUCGCAUGAAGCGGUGUGAAAAACUCUGGUGGUAUACGAUGGUUCCGCGCCUGAUUAGCUAGUUGGUGGGGUAAUGGCCUACCAAGGCAGCGAUCAGUAGCCGGCCUGAGAGGGUGAACGGCCACAUUGGGACUGAGACACGGCCCAAACUCCUACGGGAGGCAGCAG